rnacentral:rRNA from 1 species
CAAAGGUUCUCGCAGUACGGUCGGAAAUCGUACGUAGAGUGUAAAGGCAAAAGAGAGCUUGAUUGCAAGACAUACAGGUCGAGCAAGGAUGAAAAUCGGACUUAGUGAUCCGGUGGUUCUGCGUGGAAGGGCCAUCGCUCAACGGAUAAAAGCUACCCUGGGGAUAACAGGCUUAUCUCCCCAAAGAGUCCACAUCGACGGGGAGGUUUGGCACCUCGAUGUCGGCUCAUCACAUCCUGGGGCUGUAGUAGGUCCCAAGGGUUGGGCUGUUCGCCCAUUAAAGUGGUACGCGAGCUGGGUUCAGAACGUCGUGAGACAGUUCGGUCCCUAUCCGUCGCAGGCGUAGGAAAUUUGAGAAGACCUGUCCUUAGUACGAGAGGACCGGGAUGGACGUACCUCUGGUGUACCAGUUGUUCUGCCAAGGGCAUGGCUGGGUAGCUAUGUACGGAAUGGAUAAGCGCUGAAAGCAUCUAAGCGCGAAGCCAACUUCAAGAUAAGAUUUCCCACCG